AAUAGAUACCCCGGUAGUCCCAGCUGUAAACGAUGCAGACUCGGUGAUGAAAAGGCUUCGUGCCUUUUUCAGUGCCGCAGGGAAGCCGUUAAGUCUGCCGCCUGGGGAGUACGGUCGCAAGACUGAGACUUAAAGGAAUUGGCGGGGGGAGCACCACAAGGGGUGAAGCCUGCGGUUCAAUUGGAGUCAACGCCGGGAAUCUUACCGGGGGGCGACAGCAGAAUGAAGGUCAGGCUGAAGACUUUACCAGACAAGCUGAGAGGAGGUGCAUGGCCGUCGCCAGCUCGUGCCGUGAGGUGUCCUGUUAAGUCAGGUAACGAGCGAGAUCCCUGCCUCUAGUUGCUACCACUGCUCUCAGGAGUAGUGGGGCUAAUUAGAGGGACUGCCGUCGCUGAGACGGAGGAAGGAGGGGGCUACGGCAGGUCAGUAUGCCCCCGAAACCCUCGGGCCACACGCGGGCUGCAAUGGUAAGGACAAUAAGUUCCUAUUCCGAAAGGAGGAGGUAAUCUCCAAACCUUAACCUCAGUUAUGAUUGAGGGCUGUAAA
rnacentral:rRNA from 1 species